AAAUAUUUUUGUAUUUUUUGAAUAUCAAAAACUAUUUUAAAUGAAUUAAAAAUAACCAGAAAGAGAAAAUUACUAAAAAAAAUCAAAUGACAAAAUAAAGAAAUAUUAAAAAUCAUUUUUAGAAAGUAGAAAUUAAAAGGAGAAGAAUGAAAUUGGUCCCAUAAUUUUUGGACCAAUAAUGAGAGAGAUAUAAAUUUUAGAAAUAAAAUGGAAUUAAAAGAAAUAAAAGAAAAUAAAAUCAGAAAUU
rnacentral:lncRNA from 1 species